UCCGUAGGUGGACAGAUAAGUCAGAGGUGAAAUCCUGCAGCUCAACUGUAGAACUGCCUUUGAUACUGUUUGUCUUGAGUUAUUGUGAAGUGGUUAGAAUGUGUAGUGUAGCGGUGAAAUGCAUAGAUAUUACACAGAAUACCGAUUGCGAAGGCAGAUCACUAACAAUUAACUGACACUGAUGGACGAAAGCGUGGGUAGCGAACAGGAUUAGAUACCCUGGUAGUCCACGCCGUAAACGAUGGUCACUAGCUGUUCGGACUUCGGUCUGAGUGGCUAAGCGAAAGUGAUAAGUGACCCACCUGGGGAGUACGUUCGCAAGAAUGAAACUCAAAGGAAUUGACGGGGGCCCGCACAAGCGGUGGAGCAUGUGGUUUAAUUCGAUGA
rnacentral:rRNA from 1 species